GAGACAGCAACAGCAGCAGCAAAAACCAACUCAGCAGCCAUAGGGAAGGCCAGGCGGACAAAGGGCGAGAAAGAUCUUCCUUCAGACACGUCCCUCUCUAUCUGGGCUAGCGGAAGGUGCUGCCCAUUCCUGGCGUGGGUGGGUUCUCCCACCUCCAUUAAGAGAAUCAGGAAGGUUACUUAGUUGAGGCUCCCCAUUCAGAUGAGGCUAAUUUGUGGAAAUAAACCAAACAUCACAGACAUCUUAAGAAGAAAGUCUGAAAGAAUGGUGAAGGGGAACAAGACAGGGUGAUUGGGGGAGGAAUGCUGUGUGCUUUCUCUCAUAUUAAGAACAUAGACUGGUGUGUGUGUGUGUGUGUGUGUGUGUGUGUGCGCGCGCACACACACAUAUCAAUCCUGUUCAGGCCUUUAGAACCUAGGAAGAGACCCUCCCUGGAGAAGGGGACUAAGAGUUCAGAUAGAUGGAGCCUCAGCCUAUCAGAGGACAGCCUCCCACAGGAUGAACCCAUAGAUGGAGCCUCAGCCUAUCAGAGGACAGCCUCCCAUGGGAUGAACCCUGUUAGACAUCUUCCCCCAAUACAGCUCACCUAUGCAGCAGCAAAGCCUCGUUCUACCCCCCUGUAUGAGUUAAUGACCUCACAAUGUCAGAUUCCACAGGUCAGAGGCUUGGGCACAGCAUGUAAACACCAAGGGCUUCAUGGGAAGGGAUUGGGCUGCCUAGCCCUUGUCUAGUGUGGAUAGCAUCUGUCACUGUGGCACAAGAAAACCAGAACCAAGUGGAAUCCCCAGAAGAAAGCUUUCCAUUCUUCAAGUCCAUAGAGAGAGACACACCACAAAACUCCUGGUGGUGUGUGGCCAUGUCCUGCCACUUCCGAGGAUUUGGAUUGAUUGGCAGAGUGAUGUCAGCUGAGACAGACGCAUGUGGGAAAUGCACAGCUAAGAACUGCUCCUGUCAUCCCUGCUGGUCCAAAUCCCUCCCGCCUGGCUGUGUCUGCUAGGUCAUGUCACCUGCUGCUAUUCCAACACUACUGAAUUGGACUGCUGAUAUAUCCGUGAAGUGUUCGAGAGUGGAUCGAGCUGCCACUGCUGACUGCUGAACUGCUGACUUCCUGACAACACAAAUGGAUUUCCAGGAUGAGAUUCCUCAAUCACAUCGCUUUCCACAGCGUCCAGUCUGUCACAGACUUGUGCCUGCCGGGCAUCCUGGACACAAGGACAUCGUAUUAGCUACAAGCAUCCUCCACCCUGGAUGGGCUGUGAGGGUGGCCCAUAAGACAUGUCCAUACAAAAGCCUUCAUCCAGAAAUUACGAAUUUUCUGUCUUGACUGAUCUUCACUUCAUUGAGCAAAGGACUUCUGGCAUUCUGGCUGGUCCUGGUCACUCCUGCUGACUCCUGCUGAUUCAUCAGAGGCUUAGAGGUUUCUGCUGGAUUCUGCUGCUCCUGGUGAUUCGUGUUUGGUGACACUUUUGAACUAGACUGUUGUUAUCCUGACAAACGGAGAUUAGAAUUGCCCCAAAGAAAUACUUUUAAACAGGUCCACAUCCCCUUGUCCUAUUUACCAUCUUUUCUCCCCUACCUUUGGACGGUGGAAUAGAAGAGGGGUUGAAGCGUUUGAGAACCCUUAUUAAAGUAGGUUUUAAAAAAAAA